CGAAUGCUGACAUAAGUAACGAUAAAGCGGGUGAAAAGCCCGCUCGCCGGAAGACCAAGGGUUCCUGUCCAACGUUAAUCGGGGCAGGGUGAGUCGACCCCUAAGGCGAGGCCGAAAGGCGUAGUCGAUGGGAAACAGGUUAAUAUUCCUGUACUUGGUGUUACUGCGAAGGGGGGACGGAGAAGGCUAUGUUGGCCGGGCGACGGUUGUCCCGGUUUAAGCGUGUAGGCUGGUUUUCCAGGCAAAUCCGGAAAAUCAAGGCUGAGGCGUGAUGACGAGGCACUACGGUGCUGAAGCAACAAAUGCCCUGCUUCCAGGAAAAGCCUCUAAGCAUCAGGUAACAUCAAAUCGUACCCCAAACCGACACAGGUGGUCAGGUAGAGAAUACCAAGGCGCUUGAGAGAACUCGGGUGAAGGAACUAGGCAAAAUGGUGCCGUAACUUCGGGAGAAGGCACGCUGAUAUGUAGGUGAAGCGACUUGCUCGUGGAGCUGAAAUCAGUCGAAGAUACCAGCUGGCUGCAACUGUUUAUUAAAAACACAGCACUGUGCAAACACGAAAGUGGACGUAUACGGUGUGACGCCUGCCCGGUGCCGGAAGGUUAAUUGAUGGGGUUAGCGGUAACGCGAAGCUCUUGAUCGAAGCCCCGGUA
rnacentral:rRNA from 1 species